rnacentral:rRNA from 1 species
AGUGAACGCUGGCGGUAGGCCUAACACAUGCAAGUCGAACGGCAGCACAGAGGAGCUUGCUCCUUGGGUGGCGAGUGGCGGACGGGUGAGGAAUACAUCGGAAUCUACUCUGUCGUGGGGGAUAACGUAGGGAAACUUACGCUAAUACCGCAUACGACCUACGGGUGAAAGCAGGGGACCUUCGGGCCUUGCGCGAUUGAAUGAGCCGAUGUCGGAUUAGCUAGUUGGCGGGGUAAAGGCCCACCAAGGCGACGAUCCGUAGCUGGUCUGAGAGGAUGAUCAGCCACACUGGAACUGAGACACGGUCCAGACUCCUACGGGAGGCAGCAGUGGGGAAUAUCGGACAAUGGGCGCAAGCCUGAUCCAGCCAUACCGCGUGGGUGAAGAAGGCCUUCGGGUUGUAAAGCCCUUUUGUAGGGAAAGAAAUCCAGCUGGCUAAUACCUGGUUGGGAUGACGGUACCCAAAGAAUAAGCACCGGCUAACUUCGUGCCAGCCGCCGCGGUAA